CAGUCGCCGCGGUAAUACGUAGGGUCCGAGCGUUGUCCGGAAUUAUUGGGCGUAAAGGGCUCGUAGGCGGUUUGUCGCGUCGGGAGUGAAAACCAGCAGCUUAACUGCUGGCCUGCUUUCGAUACGGGCAGACUUGAGGCAUUCAGGGGAGAACGGAAUUCCUGGUGUAGCGGUGAAAUGCGCAGAUAUCAGGAGGAACACCGGUGGCGAAGGCGGUUCUCUGGGAAUGUUCUGACGCUGAGGAGCGAAAGUGUGGGGAGCGAACAGGAUUAGAUACCCCAGUAGUCCCUGUCUCUUAUAU
rnacentral:rRNA from 1 species